rnacentral:rRNA from 1 species
AGAGUUUGAUCCUGGCCCAUAACGAACGUUGGCGGCGUGGAUUAGGCAUGCAAGUCGAACGAGAACGUCACCUUCGGGUGGCGAGUAAAGUGGCGAACGGGUGAGUAACGCGUGGGAAACCUGCCCUCGAGUUGGGGAUAACACUCCCAACGGAGUGCUAAUACCGAAUAAGACCACGGAGUCGCAUGACUCAGCGGUCAAAAGUGGCCUCUACAUGUAAGCUACUGCUUGAGGAUGGUCCCGCGUCCCAUUAGCUUGUUGGUGAGGUAAGAGCUCACCAAGGCUACGAUGGGUAGCUGGUCUGAGAGGAUGGUCAGCCACACUGGGACUGAGAUACGGCCCAGACUCCUACGGGAGGCAGCAGUCGAGAGGCUUCGGCAAUGGGGGAAACCCUGACCGAGCGACGCCGCGUGGGCGAUGAAGGCCGUAAGGUUGUAAAGCCCUGUCAAGAGGGGCGAAAUGCAGGUGUUCGAACAGGGCAUCUGUUUGACGGUACCUCUAAAGGAUCUCCGGCUAACUCCGUGCCAGCAGCCGCGGUAAUACGGGGGGAGCGAACGUUGUUCGGAAUUACUGGGCGUAAAUGGCGCGCAGGCGGCUUGGUCAGUGGAAUGUGAAAUGCCCUGGCUCAACCAGGGAACGGCAUUCCAUACUGCCUAGCUUGAGUACAGGAGAGGAUGGGGGAAUUCCCGGUGUAGCGGUGGAAUGCAUUGAUAUCGGGAGGAACACCAGUGGCGAAGGCGCCCAUCUGGCCUGAUACUGACGCUCAGGCGCGAAAGCUAGGGGAGCAAACAGGAUUAGAUACCCUGGUAGUCCUAGCCGUAAACGGUGAGCACUAGGUGUAGGAGGCAUCGACCCCUCCUGUGCCGCAGCUAACGCAUUAAGUGCUCCGCCUGGGUAGUACGACCGCAAGGUUGAAACUCAAAGGAAUUGACGGGGCCCCGCACAAGCGGUGGAGCAUGUGGUUUAAUUCGAUACAACGCGAAGAACCUUACCCAGGUUUGACAUGCACCGGAUCGGUGUGGAAACACACUUUCCCUUCGGGGUCGGUGCACAGGUGCUGCAUGGCUGUCGUCAGCUCGUGUCGUGAGAUGUUGGGUUAAGUCCCGCAACGAGCGCAACCCUUGUCCUUAGUUGCCAGCAAGUGAAGUUGGGCACUCUAAGGAGACUGCCGUCGAUAAGACGGAGGAAGGUGGGGAUGACGUCAAGUCCUCAUGGUCCUUACACCUGGGGCUACACACGUGCUACAAUGGCCGGUACAGAGGGUUGCAAUGCCGCGAGGUGGAGCUAAUCCCAAAAAGCCGGUCUCAGUUCGGAUUGUAGUCUGCAACUCGACUACAUGAAGGCGGAAUCGCUAGUAAUCGCUGAUCAGCAGGCAGCGGUGAAUAUGUUCCCGGGGCUUGUACACACCGCCCGUCAAGCCACGAAAGUCGGCAGUACCCGAAGUCGCUAUCCUAACCG